GGUACGCAAACGGUGGCUAUCGGCAUCGUGCGCGUGUAAGCGCGCGCGCGACGCUCGACGCCAGUCAGCGACGAAUCUUCGGGCCUCUUUCCGACCCGUCUUGAAACACGGACCAAGGAGUCUAACGUGCGCGCGAGUCGUUGGGUGUCGAGAGUGGUGUCAAAAGCCGCGCUCGUUAUAAUACGAAACCCGUUGUUUUAGAAACGAAGGCGUAAUGAAAGUGAAUCCCGAACGCGCGCGCACGGGGAUUUAACCGUUCCCGUGUGCGUGUGUGGGGGAAGAUGGCGUUCCGAGUACACGUUUCUCGGUCGCAUGGUACCGAGGCCGGACGUCCGCAUUCCCGGGGCGUUCCAAUAGUACGCCGUCGAUGUCUGUGCCGCGUGUAAUUACGCGCGGUGUCGGUCGACGACGAACUGGGGCGCACCUAUAGCGUGCACGUUGGUACCCGAAAGAUGGUGAACUAUGCCCGGCCAGGAUGAAGUCAGGGGAAACCCUGAUGGAGGUCCGCAGCGAUUCUGACGUGCAAAUCGAUCGUCUGAGCUGGGUAUAGGGGCGAAAGACUAAUCGAACCAU
rnacentral:rRNA from 1 species